UUAUGCUCUGAAUACAUUAGCAUGGAAUAACGCGAUAGGAGUCUGGUCCUAUUAUGUUGGCCUUUGGGACCGGAGUAAUGAUUAAUAGGGAUUGUCGGGGGCAUUCGUAUUUCAUUGUCAGAGGUUAAAUUCUUAGAUUUAUGAAAGACGAACCACUGUGAAAUCAUUUUCCAAGGAUGUUUUCAUUAAUCAAGAACAAAAUUUGGGGGCUCGAAGAUGAUUAGAUACCGUCCUAGUCUCAAACAUAAAUGAUGUCGACCAAGGAUCGACAGAUGUUGCUCUAAGGACUCCGCCAACACCUUCUGAGAAAUCAGAGUGUUUGGGUUCCAAGGGGAGUAUGGUCACAAGACUGAAACUUAAAGGAAUUGAUGGAAGGGCACCAUCAGGAGUGGAGCCUGUGGAUUAAUUUUACUCAACACGAGAAAACUUACCAGGUCCAGACAUAGUAAGGAUUGACAGAUUGAGAGCUCUUUCUUGAUUCUAUGGGUGGUGGUGCAUGGCCAUUCUUAGUUGGUGGAGCGAUUUGUCUGGUUAAUUUCGAUAACGAAAGAGACCUCAACCUGCUAACUAGCUACGCGGAGGUUUCCCUUUGUGGCCAGCUUCUUAGAGGGACUAUGGCCAUUUAGGACAUGGAAUUUUGAGGCAAUAAUAGGUCUGUGAUGCCCUUAGAUGUUCUGGGCCACGCCCACGCUACACUAAUGCAGUCAAUGAGUGUUUCUCCCUGGUUCAAGAGGAUCAAGAAAUAUUCUCAAAAUGCAUCAUGAUGGGGAUAGACCAUUGCAAUUAUUGGUGUUCAACGAGGAAUCCCUAGUAAGUGCAUGUCAUCAACACGUGUUGACUACGUCCCUGCCCUUUGUACACACCGCCCAUCGCUCCUACCGAUUGAAUGAUUCGGUGAAGUGUUUGGAUCGUGUCAACGAGGGUGGUUCACCACCGAUGAUGUCAUGAUAAGUUCACUGAACCUUAUCAUUUAGAGGAAGGAGAAGUCGUAACAAGGUUACUAUAGGUGAACUUGCGGUAGGAUCAUUG
rnacentral:ncRNA from 1 species